rnacentral:rRNA from 1 species
GGCGGCGUGCUUAACACAUGCAAGUCGAACGAGGUCCAACCUUCGGGUGAAGACCUAGUGGCGAACGGGUGCGUAACACGUGAGGAACUUGUCCCGGUCUCUGGGAUAACAGUUGGAAACGACUGCUAAUACCGGAUGACGUCGGAGCGUCGCAUGGCGCGCUGACGAAAGGGUUACUGGAUCGGGAGAGCCUCGCGGCCUAUCAGCUUGUUGGUGGGGUAACGGCCUACCAAGGCAUCGACGGGUAGCUGGUCUGAGAGGAUGAUCAGCCACACUGGGACUGAGACACGGCCCANACUCCUACGGGAGGCAGCAGUGGGGAAUCUUGCGCAAUGGGCGAAAGCCUGACGCAGCAACGCCGCGUGCGGGAAGAAGGCUCUCGGGUUGUAAACCGCUUUCAGAAGGAACGAAACUGACGGUACUUUCAGAAGAAGGUGCGGCCAACUACGUGCCAGCAGCCGCGGUGACACGUA